rnacentral:misc_RNA from 1 species
ACCCUCCAUUCUCCACACGUCACAUGGUACAGUGAUCGAGCUUCUCUCCUUCCCAUUACCACACGUCCUCUGGUUUAGCACCCUCACCCUGCACGUGAACGCUCGUUUGCUCCCUAGCGCCGCCGUCACUGGCACUUUAUCCUUCAUCACCAGCCACACCACCACCUCUCCUCUUCCUUCUCCUCCUCCGUCUACCAUCUUCCUAUACGCCUCGUUCGUCCACGUUAUCGUUCCAAAACCAUCAGAUAUCAUCCCGGGACACGUGUCCCUCUCCAGAUUCAUCCUUCUCUCCUCGUCCGUACAGCCCAAUUCAUCCGCAUCCACCCACGCGUCCGUAAUACAUUCCACUGUUACGCAUGACCCAAUAACCACCCUCAUCACCUGAGGCAUCACAACCGUAUAAUCUGACAUGGCAAAACCUCCGGAUAUCACCAUCCCAUCAUGACNNNNNNNNNNGAAACUAAGCCAGGUGGGAACGCUCUUUGCUUGCUUUGGUGAAAACAAGCCUACCGGUGUUUCCCUUUCGGAAGUGUCCUUACGGUCAGGAGUCUCCGGUAGGAGAGGCAGAGUCACCACCGCAUACCCCUUCUCCUCGCUCAAACCCUUUCUUUUCUUAGUAUUGCUGCCAUUAUUACACCUCUUACUAUUAUUCCCGUUUGCGGUGCUAAACCUUCUCUUUCCUCUGCCAGACCUGGGACUGACCUCACUAAUCUCCGGGGAUAACCCACAUGAGGCUGAACAGACGUUGGCCGGUUUGGGGGCAAUCGGCCGGAAUCUCAUCAUUAUCCGAUUAACUUUCGACAUAUCAUAUACACCCCCACCGUACCUCGCUAUGCAGCAACCUCCCCUACCGUCCAUUUUGCACUUUUCCUCUCUCUAAAACCCUGACUCCCUGUCUCUCCGUCCUCCCCUCACCUACUCCGAUCUCUCUCUCUACUUUUUGCCUUCCUUUCACUUAACAAUGAGAGGC